GCCCUGUGGUUACUGGUCACUGUUGUCUCAGUGCAGUGCUUCAGUUAUUAAAAAUGGGCAGAAAGUAAUACUCUGACAUAUGCAUGGAGUCUUUGAUAUUUUGAAGCCUCCAUAGCCCGGUCAUUGUUACACUU